ensembl:lncRNA
GUUCACAAGGCAGGAUGGCUUUUUCCUGAUGAAAUGCCCAUUACGUGCCUGGCUUUAGUUUGACUUCACUGCAGAUAGGCUGCCUGGCCAAGGGAUCUCUGCUUGUUAUUUGUUUCCUUUCGUUUUCUGCUGUAAAGCAUAAGAACCCCAAACGCAGUGUUUUUGGAGCCGUGGUGUUCUGCGGCGUGUCAUUGCUGAGACAUUCUGACAUCUAAGCCGACAAACAGGACGAGUCAGCACCGUUCUGCCCAGCACACAUUUGGAGCCCUUCAGAACCUGAAGGCACUGUUCAAACGGAGGCUGAAUGUUGAUGUGUUCGGUUUCUUCGUGCGCUGUUUCAGCGCAGUGCUGCAGGGAGAGGCGCUCUGUGCAGACCAAUGGCGGGGCAGUGACGGACAGCUGCUUUCUGCCUUCCCCCCGUGUCACAAGUUGGUAUUUCUUGCCGACGCUCCGAAUGCAGGAGCGCAGUGAGCUCGGACUUGCAGCGCGGGCUGUAAAGGCUGCUCACCACACUCCAUCUGUCGGUAAGGUGGGUAACUGCCCGAGUGAGCAGCGCUGCCCACCGGCGUUCCCAGCUCGGUGCGUGCAGGAGCUCUGACCCUGGAGCAGCGCUGCUGCUGGGAGUGCUUCUCUCCACGGGGUCGUUUAGCCGAUGUGCCGAUGCUGAGGUGCGGCGGCCUUGCGGAGCGGCUCCUGGCGCUGUGUUUGCUGCCAUCUGAUUGCGGGCAGGGCAGACCACGCGCUGUAGGUGAGCUCAGCAGCUCCGUACCUCCAACUCAGCACUGCAGCUGUGGAUUCAACGAGCAUUUCUGGCAACCUGCAGCGCUCAGCAAAAAGGGCAUUUCCUCUUCCUGAAGCACAAACUCAACAGAGACAAUGUGAAGCCUUUAAGUCUUUUUGAGCGGCUACUGAGGUGGAAACAGCUGGGCUGAGGCGGAUGCUUUGAGACAGAACGUGGUUUGUGGGGACAGGACCAGCAAUGGAGACCUGAGUUUGGUCGGAACAGAGAGCUGGAGAAGACCUCUAUGAUGCAGGAUAAUUCUCUGCGCCCUCUCUGAUGGAAACCCCAAAGCACCCCUCUUCCCAUGCUGCUCUCCCACCUUGCCCAAUGGCAGGGCCGGUCAGCUGGCUGCCAUGUGCUCGGUGUGCUGGCAGCAGCUCAGCCUGCAUUCAGGGCGCGCUGCCUGCCCCACUGCUGCACCCACACUGCAGGACCGGGUGUGGUGGGUGCCCUCCAUCCAUCAUCUCCUGGGGCAGCACCUCCUGCAGUGCCCUGUGGGGCCGGGAGGGCCUUGGGGCGCAGAGCCACAGGUAGGGAGAGGAUUCCCACACCCAUCUCCAAGACUUAUCUGAGGCACAGCUCUGCACAGCGAUGACAAAGCCACUGCUGUCACCGAGCAGUCACCAAAUGACACAGCCUGAGGAAAGCAGGCUAUGGGAGGAGGAUGGGAGCCGGGCACACGCUGGUGGAGAAGACAGGCUGUGCGGCGUUUUGGAGUGCAUCCACGGUGUGCUGGGUGCUGCGUGGUGCUGCAGGCCCUGCUGGGAGCGGGAGUGCUGAGUGAAUGUAGUGAGGGGUCCCCCAGGUGGGCGGGUGGGGGGGGAGGGGGGGCUGGGGCUGCACCCCCACCUGGAUACUGUUGCUUGGGAAACCUCUCCUGCAGCAUCUGCUCAGCACCGCGCUUCUGCCUCCAGAUAACGGCGUCACGGGGCUGCGCUGGGGAGGAAAAUAAAAGCCACACAGGUGCAGGGGAAGGGAUGGAGAUAUUGUGAGAUGCUUGGAGAGAACAAGCACCUAAAAAUACUGGUGCUUUCACAAGCAGCAUGGCAGGGACAGGCUGG